rnacentral:rRNA from 1 species
UACGUAGGCAGCGAGCGUUGUUCGGAAUUACUGGGCGUAAAGAGUGUGUAGGCGGUGCUCUAAGUUCGGUGUGAAAUCUCCUGGCUCAACUGGGAGGGUGCGCCGGAAACUGGAGUGCUUGAGCGUGGGAGAGGUAAGCGGAAUUCCUGGUGUAGCGGUGAAAUGCGUAGAUAUCAGGAGGAACACCUGUGGUGUAGACAGCUUACUGGACCACUUCUGACGCUGAGACACGAAAGCGUGGGUAGCAAACAGG